rnacentral:rRNA from 1 species
CCUACGGGCGGCAGCAGUGGGGAAUAUUGGACAAUGGGCGAAAGCCUGAUCCAGCCAUGCCGCGUGUGUGAAGAAGGCCUUCGGGUUGUAAAGCACUUUCAGUGGGGAAGAAAGCCUUGGGGCUAAUACCCUCGAGGAAGGACAUCACCCACAGAAGAAGCACCGGCUAACUCCGUGCCAGCAGCCGCGGUAAUACGGAGGGUGCGAGCGUUAAUCGGAAUUACUGGGCGUAAAGCGCGCGUAGGCGGUCUGAUAAGCCGGUUGUGAAAGCCCCGGGCUCAACCUGGGAACGGCAUCCGGAACUGUCAGGCUAGAGUGCAGGAGAGGAAGGUGGAAUUCCCGGUGUAGCGGUGAAAUGCGUAGAGAUCGGGAGGAAUACCAGUGGCGAAGGCGGCCUUCUGGACUGACACUGACGCUGAGGUGCGAAAGCGUGGGUAGCAAACAGGAUUAGAUACCCUAGUAGUC